UACGAAAGGGGCUAGCGUUGUUCGGAAUUACUGGGCGUAGAGCGCACGUAGGCGGCCUUGUAAGAUGGGGGUGAAAUCCCCGGGCUCAACCCGGGAACUGCCUUCAUGACUGCAAAGCUAGAGGAUGCGAGAGGUUAGCGGAAUUCCGAGUGUAGAGGUGAAAUUCGUAGAUAUUCGGAAGAACACCAGUGGCGAAGGCGGCUAACUGACGCAUUUCUGACGCUGAGGUGCGAAAGCGUGGGGAGAAAACAGG
rnacentral:rRNA from 1 species